GAUGAAUGCUGGCGGCGUGCUUAACACAUGCAAGUCGAACGGAAAGGCCCUGCUUUUGUGGGGUUCUCGAGUGGCGAACGGGUGAGUAACACGUGAGUAACCUGCCCUUGACUUUGGGAUAACUUCAGGAAACUGGGGCUAAUACCGGAUAGGAGCUCCUGCAGCAUGGUGGGGGUUGGAAAGUUUCGGCGGUUGGGGAUAGACUCGCGGCUUAUCAGCUUGUUGGUGGGGUAGUGGCUUACCAAGGCUUUGACGGGUAGCCGGCCUGAGAGGGUGACCGGGGACAAUGGGACUGAGAGACGGCCCAGAAUGCAACGGGAGGCAGCAGUGGGGAAUAUGGCACAAUGGGCGGGAGCCUGAUGCAGAGACGCCGCGUGCGGGAUGACGGCUUUCGGGGUGUAAACCGCUUUCGCCUGUGACGAGGCGUGAGUGACGGUAAUGGGUAAAGAAGCACCGGCUAACUACGUG
rnacentral:rRNA from 1 species